rnacentral:rRNA from 1 species
AUGAACGCUGGCGGCGUGCUUAACACAUGCAAGUCGAACGAUGAUCCCAGCUUGCUGGGGGAUUAGUGGCGAACGGGUGAGUAACACGUGAGUAACCUGCCCUUAACUCUGGGAUAAGCCUGGGAAACUGGGUCUAAUACCGGAUAUGACUCCUCAUCGCAUGGUGGGGGGUGGAAAGCUUUAUUGUGGUUUUGGAUGGACUCGCGGCCUAUCAGCUUGUUGGUGAGGUAAUGGCUCACCAAGGCGACGACGGGUAGCCGGCCUGAGAGGGUGACCGGCCACACUGGGACUGAGACACGGCCCAGACUCCUACGGGAGGCAGCAGUGGGGAAUAUUGCACAAUGGGCGAAAGCCUGAUGCAGCGACGCCGCGUGAGGGAUGACGGCCUUCGGGUUGUAAACCUCUUUCAGUAGGGAAGAAGCGAAAGUGACGGUACCUGCAGAAGAAGCGCCGGCUAACUACGU